AUACGGAGGAUCCGAGCGUUAUCCGGAUUUAUUGGGUUUAAAGGGAGCGUAGGUGGACGUAUAAGUCAGUUGUGAAAGUUUGCGGCUCAACCGUAAAGUUGCAGUUGAUACUGUAUGUCUUGAGUGUACAAGAGGUGGGCGGAAUUCGUGGUGUAGCGGUGAAAUGCUUAGAUAUCACGAGGAACUCCGAUUGCGAAGGCAGCUCACUGGGGUACAACUGACACUGAGGCUCGAAAGUGUGGGUAUC
rnacentral:rRNA from 1 species